GCUCUAGGUGUCCUUAUCGCUGUGGUUGUUCAAGGAAUGUUUGUGUCAAGCACUCGGUGUAAGGGUGAUGAAAAACAUGUGCACAACUUCACAAUCUCAGCUCAGCGUGAUGCAUACAUGCAGGGGUCAUCCGUGGUGAUUGGCCUCUACUUGGUGUGCUGUCUCGUCGUCUUCUUUGGCUCUCGAGAGAAGAAA